rnacentral:rRNA from 1 species
CAGUCGCCACGGGAAAACGGGGGGGGCAAGUGUUAUUCGGAAUGACUGGGCGUAAAGCGUGCGUAGGCGGCUUUUUAAGUCGGAUGUGAAAUCCCUGAGCUUAACUUAGGAAUUGCAUUCGAUACUGGGAAGCUAGAGUAUGGGAGAGGAUGGUAGAAUUCCAGGUGUAGCGGUGAAAUGCGUAGAGAUCUGGAGGAAUACCGAUGGCGAAGGCAGCCAUCUGGCCUAAUACUGACGCUGAGGUACGAAAGCAUGGGGAGCAAACAGGAUUAGAUACCCCAGUAGUCCCUGUCUCUUAUAC